rnacentral:lncRNA from 1 species
AGAUUCCUAUUAUAUUACUGUAUCUGAUCCACAACAUUAGUGUUGUUUAGAAAAGUAAGGGGAAGAAAAAAAAAAAAAAGCAGGUAGGGGGAAAAUGAGGGCUCAUGCAAAACCAACCUUAGAGUUGGAGAGGCACAGAGAAGUCUUUGAAGGAUUAAAGAUGACCUUCUCUGAGGACACACUCCUCUUCUCCUAGACGUCUGUCACACUGCCCCAGCUGAUGUAGAAGCAAGUCACAAGGCUGAGGUCAUGCAGAGGGCAGGAGAUGGAAGGAAGAGAUCCGAGUCAACACGGCACCAUGGCGUAAGUCUUAUGCUUUCAAUAAGGAAUUGGUGGUGAUUCCUGAGGGCAAAGAUCCCAGCCAGCUGAGACUGGGACUGAUCAGAAGCAUCCAGAGUAGCCACUCAGGAGUGGAGAAGCCUCUUCCUGCUUAGUGUCACUGGGCAAGCACCAAUUUGAGAAAACAGUGCUGAGGUCCUACUCCUUUCUUUCUGUCUGCACCCUGCCUUCACCUUCCAAUGUGGUCCCUUGAGGUGUGUCCUGUACUUCUUCUAAGAUCUGUAAACAUAGAAGAAUGUUCCCAGGAUUUUGAAAAGGGUGACAAUAACCUGGAAACUAGAAGCUAUGCAAAGGAGGGGAAAGGGAUGCAUGGGAUUUUCAGGACUUCAGAUGCUCCAGUGAUGAAUGAAGGAUGGAUUAUGUAGGAUGAAUUCAUACAAAUGAAUCUUACCUACAUAAGACGAAUUACGUCACCUUAAUACUAGGGGUGGAGUUCCCAGGCCAGGGAUCAAAUGCGCUCUACAGCAGUGACAGGGCUGGGUCUGUAACCUGCUGCCCCACAAGAGAACUUCCAGAAUGUCCUUUUUCAACAAAAAUAUCACUCAUCGCUUUUCAUCCUCCUGACGUACGUUCUGCCAAUUUAGCAGUCAUUUAUAUGCAUUGGUGCUGAGAAUUCCUAUGAAUUUUGGCACCAGUCUCAUCGUCUCCUGUGCCUUUGGCUACAGAAUAGUUUCUAAAUUAAUAAUACAGCUACUUCCCCUUGUUUCUCUACCUGUAGCAAGACCAAACAUGAGCUCGUACUUUGAAGUUAGGGAAAAUAACAAGACUCUUUUAAUUGCUUUUGAUUUAAACACACACACACACACACACACACACACACACACACACACACACACACGCCAGGUGGAUGAUCUCAGCAUGAUGCCAUCUCACAAAUAACACAUUACCUCCACCUUCCAGAGACCUUGCGGCUUUGUGAUUUAUUAUCUAGGCUUGCCUUUCUCACCUGUUAUUAUUCCCUCUUUUGGGUCCUAUCCAUGAGGAGAUUUCAUUUUUAGGAUGUGUGAUGCAUAAAAUUAAGAGCAGCAGCAACUCCCAUUUUCUCUUUCAUGAGCAGGUUGGAGUAUUUAAAAGCCUGAGGCCAGAUAAUUUUGAUUUUAGAGGAAGGCAGGGUGAUAACCAGAAAGGGAAAGAGGAGGCCUGGCACACAGCCUGGAGCUGCAGAGUUUCUGCUCUGCCCCCAGAAGACUGCUGGUCAGGGCUCUGUACACCCCUUCCCUGGAAUCCAGCAGGAGGCCCAGGUCACAAGUUCAGAUGCUGGAUGUUUUCCCUAGGAACAAGUAAUCAUCUUCCCAACUUUUAGCUGGGUAACACAGGAAGGACAGUGGGGAGCUGAUUCUUCCAUGGUAGAAACGGUUCUUCGAAAUGUCAGCAGUGGGAAUGUUCAACUAAAUUUGGUAAAUCUACUUGAUGGACUACUCUGCAGGCCUUUAAAGUGAAAAUUUUAAAUAAGACUAUGAAGUAAUUUGGGAAAUUUUUAUAAUAAAAUGUUAACAUAAAUAUCAAAAUUCUGCCCAGUUUGGAGUUCCCGUCGUGGCCCAGUGGUUAACGAAUCCGACUAGGAAGGCUGAGGUUGCAGGUUCCAUCCCUGGCCUUGCUCAGUGGGUUAAGACUCUGGUGUUGCCGUAAGCUGUGGUGUAGGUUGCAGACUUGGGUUGGAUUCCAAGUUGCUGUGGCUCCAGUGUAGACAGGGAGGCUACAGCUCCGAUUAGACCCCUAGCCUGGGAACCUCCAUAUGCCGCAGGUGCAGCCUUAAAAAGACAAAAGCCAGACAAACAAACAAACAAACAAAAAGAUCAUAAAUCCAGAGAAUUUCUAAUUUCUAAGAGAAUAUUUGGAGAGCGAGCAUAGCAGAUCAGAACUUUCAUAUUAAAAUAUUUCAUAAAUGCAAACAAAAAGAACUUUUUCAUUUUUCUCUAAAGUGUUGAUUUUUAAAAUCAAUUUUGUUUAGAACAGCUUCAGAUUUACAGAAAAAAAUGGAAAUAUUGAAUAUAGAAUUCUAACAUAUAUUCUGUAACCAGUUUUCCCUGUUAUUAACAUCUUACAUUAGCAUGAUAUAUGGUAUAUUUGAAUUUUUGAACCAAUAUUGAUAAAUUAUUAUUAAUGAGAGGCCACAUUUUAUUCAUGUUUCCUUAUUUUUCACCUAGCAUUCUUUUUCGGCCCCAGGAUCCUAUCUAUCCAGGACACAUUACAUUUAGUUAUUAUGUUUCCUUAGUCUUAGGCUGUGACAGUUUCUCAUAUUUCCCUUGUUUUUGAUGACCUUGGCUGCUUUGAGGAGCAUUGGCUAGGUAUUUUCUAGAAUUGUUCUCCAUGACAAUUUGUCUGAUUUCACUCUUGUGAUUAGUUAUGAGUUUGGGGGGAAAGACCACAAAGGUAAAAUGCCAUUGUCACCAUAUCAUCAGGUCAAAGGUAUAUACCAUCAACAUAACUUAUUCCAUUGAUGUUGACCUUGACCACUUGGCUAAGAAAGUGAAAGAUGUUUUUAAAGCCGUUCACAACUUGCAUAUCUGCCAAGGAAAAAAGUUAAAACAAACGUAAUACCCGCCCCCACCCCCACCAAACCAUAAACCACAGACAAAUAGAACAAGGCUCUUAUCUGUGACUCCCAGGAUUUAUUAAGUAAGAAACAUCACUCUUCACAUUGGCCUGUUUUCCUUUCCUCCCCAUAUACUCAUCUGCUCCUGCCCUCCCUGCCUCGGCACCUCUAUUUGCUUUUAUUUAUAUUUUAGCAAGAUAGUCAUAUUUGUAUUGUUUUAGAGAUUAAAAUGCUCCAGACCCUCCAGAGCCACUUGGAGGUUCCCAUGUAGCCUUUGUGCCAGGAGGACAUAAGCCACAUUAUUUUUUGGUCUUAUUUUUUUUAGGCCCGCAUCCAUGGCAUAUGGAGUUUCCCAGGUGAGGGGUUGAAUUGGAGCUGUAGCCACUGGCCUAUACCACAGCCACAGCAACGUGGGAUCUGAGCUACAUCUGUGAACUACACCACAGCUCGUGGCAAUGCCGGAUCCUUAACCCACUGAGUGAGGCCAGGGAUCCAACCUGUGUCCUCAAGGAUACUAGUCUGGUUCAUUUCUGCUGAGCCACAGCGGGAACUCUUUUACAAGCCCCAUGUUUAAGUAAAGGUGGAGGUUAUGCACAUAAAAACACCUUUCUUUCAUUCUGGCCAAAUGAAUAAAUUUCACAGUGUGGUCAAAUAAAAAAUGUGCUACCCGUGAUAAGUGCCAACUGCCUGAACCUCUGCAGCUCUGUAGUGGGGCUGGAGGGGGGGGUGCGGGGGUGGGGGGUGUUAGUGGCGGAGAUUUGCAAUGAAAGGAGUCACUGGGGAGCAAGUGCUUUUAAGCAGCCUCCCUUCCCCCGCCCCCAUUGUCAUUUCUCCUGUCUAUCUGACCCAUUGAAGAUGCUUAAUAAAAUAUUGGAUGAAUAACUGAAUAAUUUAAUAAAGAGCUGAGAAGAUAUAAAAAAUGAAGUGUCCUAGAGAUAUGGGUCACUGUCAGUCCUGCUGCAGGACUUUCUAAGGAACAUACUCCAUCCACAGCCUUCGCUCUGUAAUGUUUUGGCUCACUCUGUCAGCUGUAACUGCCACCCCAAACAAUCCCCCAAACACACACAGAUUGGACAAGCCUGACUCAGAAACAGCCAAUUCACAAGCUUACCGUUACCUUCAAGGGCUGGCAUACAGAGAUGACAGGCUUUCCUUUGGAAAUUCAGAGUAAGAAAAAGAAUGAGGUGUCCCGGUUAUGGCUCAGUGGUAAUGAACCAAGUACUCGGGUUCAAUCCUUGGCCUCGUUCAGUGGCUUAAGGAUCUGGUGUUGCUGUGAGCCAUGGUGUAGUUUGCAGAUAUGGCCUGGAUUCUGAGUUGCUGUGGCUGUGGGGUAGGCCAGUAGCUGCAGCUCCGAUUCGACCCCUAGCCUGGGAACUUCUAUAUGCUGUGGGUG